rnacentral:lncRNA from 1 species
AAAAGAAGUCCCACACUCAACAGCAACACAGCUAACAAAGGUGGAAACGAUGGCCCAGGAGGAGAGAGGAUGGGCACAGGAUUGGGAGAGUCCCUGUGUCCCCUGAGCAAAAUUUCUAAAAGUAGAUACUGUUUAAAAGGGAGGAAAUACAUUUGACAUUGUGGCUGUCAUGAGUGCAAGAGAAAGUGGUCAGUGGAUGGUGCUAGGAAGCACCAUUGUUCUCAUCCAUAACUGACUCUCACCCAGCUUAACCCCAGGACCUCUUCCUAUAAGGCUGGAACCCCACUAGACCUUUGCCUCCAAGGGCCGCCCUGAACUUUCCUUUUCCUCCUUUUUGGAAGAGAAACUCGGAAAUGCAUGCGUUUUCAUUCGGAGCUUGCUAACCAUCCCUCAGUGCUCUCACAUUUGGGUGCUGAUUUGCGUCUCUGCACUUAGCAUCACGCAAAAUGUAGAAAUGACCACUUUUUCCUGAUGCCCAAGAAAAACUGGCUGAGAUGCAGGAGUAUCCCCAAACAGGAACUUGUGCCUGAUCAAUGUGAGCAGUGUGAAUUUGGUCCUCCCGCUCCGGAUGAGCUCAGCUUCACUCCAGGGUCCUAUGAGAAGUGAGGGCUGGAAAAUCUCUGUGUGAGAAACAGUAUCACUUGAGGAAGUCUUAAGGCUUCUUAGAGCAGUUUCAGGUUCGAAGCAAAAUUGAGAGAAACAUAGAGAGAUUUCCCAUAAACUCCUGCCUCUGCACACAUGCAUCCUCCCCCAUGAUCACCUUUGCCCACUAGAGUGGUACCUUUGUCAGAACUGAUGAGCCUACACGGGUACAUCUUUAUUAUACAGAGUCCAGGGUUCACACUCGGGUUCACCCUUGGGCUCAAUGUGUUUCAAAAGUGCUGCACAUUCCUUGGGUUUGACCAGUGUAUAAUGACAUGCAUCCACCACUAUCGUAUUGUACUGAGUCGUUUCUCUGCCCUAAAAAUCCUCUGUGCUCUACGUAUUCAUCCUUCUCUACCUAGUAACCCUUGGCAACCAUUGAUCUCUGUAAUGUCUCCAUAGCUUUGCCUUUUCCAAAACACCAUAUAGUUGGAAUCACACAGUAUGUCACUGACAUUUUUUGGAGCAAGGAUUUAGUGACUAUUCCUUUCUACUAGGAUAGACUGCUUCCUUGCCUACAUCUUCUGCUGUGAGACAGCUUCACAGUCAUCUCCAUUUUGCUCUUAAUGUGGGAAGAGUAUUCCCAUUUCUCACCAUCUGUCCAAGAAUACCCAGAGAUGCCUGACAACUGAAAACAGCUUAUGUUUAAUAGCUUGAUAGGCUACGAUCUGAUGGCACGACUCCCUAAGGAGGAUCUGAUCAGAUCGCUCAUAUGAAAAUACAUUCAGUUCUGCUAUUCACUUGUUUUGAAAAUGCAAAUUUGUUCCAAUGCAAUUGGUGUAUUGGAGAACAAUUCAAGCAGAAUGAGAAUUUCAUGUUUGUGUAUGCAUGAUUUCAUCCAUGAAAAACACUAGGUGAGCAGAGACAACUGCACUUAGCUGAAUCCAGCUGCCCAGGAAGGCAUAAAACAGUCACACACUCACACACACGCACACGCACAGACACCCCUCAACAUCUGCCAGCCACCUCAGUUCACUGACAAUGUUAUGAGCCACACCCAUGCACAUUUGGUGUUAACAGCUUUCUGUUUGAUUUCCUUUCUUUUCUGUCCCUCCUGAUAACUCUCCUUCUACUGCUUCAGAAUAACUCAUAAGCUAUAAUCCUUCUGAUGCCCACUUCCACAAGCAAACUUCAGAUAUUUUUCAAGGUACAGUGCCAUAUUUAUUGUAGUAUUUAUGUAUUUCUUAACCAUUUAACAAGUGUAAAGCUGUGCUACAGUGUUUAUUAGGUUCCUUCUUUUUUAAUGUGUCAGCUGACAACGUUUCUAGGUGUUGUGCCCAGGACCCCAUAAACCUAGUAGUUUGUUGUUGUGUUUCUUUAUUUUUUUAAUUAAUUAAUUAAUUUAUUUUUGAGACAGAGUCUUGUUCUGUCGCCCGGCUGGACUGCAGUGGCGCGAUCUCGGCUCACUGCAACCUCUGGCUCCUGAGUUCAAGCUAUUCUCCUGCCUCAGCCUCCCGAGUAGCUGGGACUACAGGUGCAUGCCACCAUGCCCUGCUAAUUUUUUUGUAUUUUUAGUAGAGAUGGAGUUUUACCAUGUUGGCCAGGAUGGUCUCUAUCUCUUGACCUUGUGAUCCGCCCACCUUGGCAUCCUAAAGUGCUGGGAUUACAGGCAUGAGCCACGACACCCAGCCAAACCCAGUAGUUUUUUAUUACACAAUUCUGUAGAUUGCAGCGAUUUUUAGGAACACAUGUGGCACUCCAGCAGCAGAAAUGACUGUGUAUGACAGGAUGCAAAAAUGGAAUUCCUUUUCUCUAGGAUUCCACUGAGAGUCUAAGAUCAUUUAUGUGUCAACUUCCUCAUUUGCAAAGGAGUUAGAAAAAGAAUCACUUUUUUAUUUACUCUUGCAUGGGCAAGUACUAAAGUUGAAGAUGGAAAUUUAUUUGGAAAUUGGAGGUGCUAAAGCAAAAUAUCCAGGAGGCCAUUAGCCUGGGGUUGGUUCUGUACCUGGAACACUUACACAGGCAAACCAAAGUUCAACUUGGAAGCAUUUCUUGAAACUGAUUAUUAUUAUUUUUUUGGGGGGGGGUUGGGAGUGGUGGGGGGGAGACAACAACCAAUAAUCAGCCAAUCAGAAACAGCCAACUAGCAACCAGUCACAACCAACUAGCAACCAAUCAGUGAACUAGCAACCAUUCACAAACAACCAACUAGCAACCAAUCACAAACAGCCAACUAGCAACCAAUCACAAACAGCUAAGUAACAACCAGACACCAGCAGCCAACUAAUGAUUAAUUAUAAAAAGCCAACCAGCAACCAAUCACGAGUAGCAAACCAGUAAGCGGUCACUAACAAUCAACUAGUAGUCAAUCACAAACGGCCAACUGGGAACCAAUCUCAAACACCCAGCCACAAACAGCUAAUUAGCAACCAAUCACAGGCAGCCAACUAGUACUCUAUCACAAGCAGCCAACUAGCAACUGGUCACACACAGCCAACUAGCUGUUAGUUAUGUAAGUAGGGACUUUUCACAAGAUCAUACUCAAAUGAGGCCUGGCUGGAGUCAGUUGAGUAAUUCCUUUGUUUUCAUGGUCAGCCUGCAAAAGCUUGCUGUUCAGUCUGCUGGAGCAGAGCUCUCUGCAUCUCUUCUGUGUCUGAGUGCUGCCCGAUUGCUGAAUGCCUUAAUGCUCAAACUCUGUAAAAUUUAUUUUGUCUAAACUUUUUCCUUUCAUGGAAACUUUCUUUGGAAAGAGUAACUUGAGCACCUGGGUCCCUAAAUCUCCCUUCUCUGGGAGAAGGAUGGGUGUACUGUCCCCUCACAUCAUGCCUGGUAAGAGGAGCUCCAGGCCCCUGCUACAGCUGACUGUGCGUCCAUGGAGCUUGUGGUUACACAGUGGAGCAGUGCCUGCCUCACAGCUGAGAAGAGCCAACAACCCGGCUCCAGUGAUCUGAAAUACAUGACCAACACUAAAUUUUGUGUAUUUGCCACAACUGCUUGAAAGAAUCAUUUAGAAUGGUGUCACAGGUCCUGAGAAUAGAGAUGAUGACUGAAGAGGGUUGUGGACAAGAUGUAAGGACAUAAGUAGAGGGCAGAGAGGACACAAGAUGCCACGCUCCUGGCUGUGAAGAUAGGGUAAGGGACCACAAGCCAAGAAAUGCAGGCAGCCUCUAGCGGCCGGAAAAGGCAUGGAAACAGCUCCUUCGCUUAUCUUCCAGAAGGAAUGCAGGACUGCCUACACCUAAUCUUAAUCGAGUCAAAAUAAUGUCAGACUUCUGAGACCUCCAGAACUGCGAGAUAAUAAAUUUGUGUUGUUUUAAAACCACAGAAGGCGUGGUGAUUUGUUAGCCCAGCUAUAGAACACUUAACACGAAUCAAGGGUGGAAGCAGAGGAGAAGGGGAAGAAGGGGGAAAGACCUUCAAUUCGUCUUGGAAAGUAAGGCUCACAGUCAACUGCACACUGAGUACAAAUUUACCUCCAGGGACUGAGGCCAACCUAGCUCAGGACCAGGGCAAAAGCACCUUGAAGUGCUGAGACCAGUCUCAUCAUAUCACCACCAAUAGCACAGGGAGGCUCAAUUCCAGCAGACACACCCUGUGACUCCAUUGAUGACACAGUCUGUCUGCAAUUGGCAAACUCUUCUUUGUCUGUGAGUAAAAUGAUGUUGUUUACAAGCAAAGUUGAAAGCAUGAAAGAUUUUCGAUAAACUCCUCAGGGCUCAUUACAAUUGGAAUCAAUUUUAUGCACUCUGGUUUGGGUAGCAUCCUUCUAUGAUUAGAGGGUGGAUGCCAAGCAGCCUAUCGUGUUAAAAAUAGGAAAAAGACUAUAGGAUUGUCUAAGCAGAGUGGAAAAACAGGCUGAAAGAGUUCAGUGGGUUUGUGUAACUUUGUCUUGUAACAAAGUCAGCAAGUGAAAAGCUAGGGAAGGUUUUUUCCUCCUCUUCUGCCUCAAUUUUCUUUUUUUUUCUGCCUGAAUUUGAAUAUAGAUUUCAUCUAUUUAAACAGAAAUACAGUCUAUCCUCUUUGUAUACUGAUCUCUUGUAUUCCCCGCUUCUUCACUUUUGUUUCUUCCUCAUUACUUACAAGCAGGAUGGAAGUCAGGUAGAGCCGACUGCAUUCCAAGUCCUUCACUUUCUCUUCGGGUAGCUGGGCCCUGGGUCUGGCAUCUUGUGAAUGUAAAAUGAAGGUUGCCUUUUGUCUGGUCCUUCUUUCGUAUAACAGAUCAUAGUGAUUGGCACUCGUCACACACACAUUUUUAUUCCAGAGUAUAGUCUCAGAAAAUCCUGCUGAAGGUUCAAGCCAAGAAGACACUUCUAUGCCAAUUAAUCCUAAAACCACCCUUGCAUAAUUAUAAAUAAUGAGAGAACUCUAACAUGACCAACUCCAUCUUGCUUUUAACCUUAACUGCUCACUUGUUUUUGUUUUGCUUAUUAUAGUAGAGAGACCAAUAAAACUAUGAGAGGAAUGUAGUCAUAGUUAAACUUGGAGUCAAGGGAAACUGAUCCCCUUUCUUGUCUGGAGAUUAAAGGUACAUUCAUAAAACAAAAUUAGAAUUAUGGUAGGGGAUUAAACUUCGCUAAGGACUAGGAAGCAUUAAUGACUUGCCAUUGCUUAGUGAUUAUUAAACUCUUUCUUUGCUGCAAUAACUGUUGUUCUUGGGCCAGGCAGGGAUGGCUCAUGCCUGGAAUCUCAGCACUGUAGCAGGCCAAGGCAGGAGGAUCACUUGAGCCCAGGAAUUGGGGACUAGCCUGGGCAACAUAGUGAGACCUCGUUUCUACAAAAAAAUUUUAAAAAUUAGCUGGAGGCUGGGCGCAAUGGCUCACACCUGUAAUCCUAGCACUCUGGGAGGCCGAUGCAGGUGGAUCACCUGAGGUCAGGACUUUGAGGCCAGCCUGGCCAACAUGGUGAAACCCUGUCUCUACUAAAAAUACAAAAAAAAAAAUGGCCGGGUGCAGUGGCUCAUGCCUGUAAUCCCAGCACUUUGGGAAGCUUAGGCAGGCACAUCAUGAGGUCAAGAGAUCGAGACCAUCCUGGCCAACAUGGUGAAGCCCCGUCUCUACUAAAACUACAAAAAUUAGCUGGGCACAGUGGCCCCUGCCUGUAGUCCCAGCUACUCGGCAGGCUGAGGCAGGAGAAUCGCUUGAACCCAGGAAGCGGAGGUUGCAGUGAGCCAAGAUCGCACCACUGCACUGCAGCCUGGUGACAGAGUGAGACUCCAUCUCAAAACAAAACAAAACAACAACAACAAGAAGAAAAAUUAGCUGGGUGUGGUGGGGUAUGCCUGUAAUCUCAGCUACUUGGGAGGCUGAGGCAGGAGAAUUGCUUGAGCCGGGAGGCGAAGGUUAUAGUGAGCCAAGAUCAUGCCACUGCACUCCAGCCUGGGCGACAUGCAACAAGACUCUGUCUCAAAAAAAAAAUAAUAAUAAUAAUUAGCUGGGUAUGGUGGUGAAUGCCUGUAGUCCCAGAUAUUUGGGAGGCUGAGGUGGAGGUUGAGGCUGCAGUGAGCCAUGAUUUCACCACUGUACUCCAGCCUGGAUGACAGAGUGAGACUCUGUCUCAAAAAUAAAUAAAUAAAUUAAAUACCUUCCAUCUCACUGGCUUUUUCAGGGAGGCAGUGGAAGAACCUGUCAGUCUGUGACAAUCCCUCAAUAUUGGCUAUCAGUGACUUUUAUGGUCUGGAUGGUCAAAGAGAAAAAUGGCGCCAGAAAAACCCAGCAUGUCCCUAUUUAAUUAGGAAAAGGGGAAUUAGUAUUACUGUAUGCCUACUAUUUGCUAGGUACUGAUUAAAGUGUUGGUUACUUAGAAAUAUUUCAUUUCUUUAUCAUGUUCAUAGUUCUACCAAAGCGUAGAUUUAAUUGUCAAAUAGCACAAUCUCUAGCAACUGGUAUAACUUACGCUAUUAAUAAAUGCUAGGUCUUUGGAAUACGAGUGGAGUUUGAAACUUUAUUUUGCUUUUUAGAAAGUGGUGGAUUUCAGACAAUUUUCUUAACCUUUUCAAGCCUCAUUUAUUCAACUGACCUUUUACCCAGUGUCUGCAAUGGAUCUACCACUGGCCUGUCCUGAAGGGGUAACAGAUAAAAGACAAAGUCCCUUCUUUGCAGAGAAAACCAUUAGCCUUUAGUUUCUUCCAUGUCAAAAUUUGAAUAGUACCCAUUUUGCAGUGUGUUGUGAGAAUCAAAUGAGAUAAGUUUUUAUGAGAGUGCUUCACAUUUAGAAGAAACUCAAUAAAUGUUAAUUUCUUGCUUUCCCUAGCGGCAGCCUAGGGGGAAGGAAAUUUUUCAGCUGGGAAACUUUUAUUUGUGCUUCUCAAAUAAUAUUAACACUGCCUUGGGGGUGAGUGGUUCUGAAUAACAAGCAUGGGAACAAUAUUAGAAUGAAGGUACCUCCAUGGAUUGGUGAAAAUUGUAGUGAGAUUUUGGUCAAUAUUCAACAUUUGACAGUAACCUUAUUAUAAGAAUAAUUCUAUUAUAUUCAGUUUUAUUGUUUGGUGAGAUGUGCUGAAGCGUAACCUCACUGAUGGAGACAAAGUGAGAGAUAGUAGUGAUUUGGAGUAGAAUUAACAGAAGUGUGUAUUACUGAUCCUGGGCUUAUUAAAUGGUCUGUUACAGCCAAUGCAGUAACUCCUGUAAGAUGUGCUGAUAAGAGUAGAGUAAUACUGUGACCAUUCAUUCGCAAAUGGUAGGACCAAAGUUCUCUCUUUUUUUUUAAAUGGAGUUUCGCUCAUGUUGCUGAGGCUGGAGUGCAGUGGCGCGAUCUCAGCUCACUGCAACCUCCGCCUCCUGGGUUCAAGCGAUUCUGCUGCCUCAGCCUCUCUAGUAGCUGGGACUACAGGCAAGUGCAACCACGCCUGGUUAGUUUUUGUAUUUUUAGUAGAGACGGGGUUUCACCAUGUUGGUUAGGCUUGUCUCGAACUCCUGACCUCAAGUGAUCCACCUGCCUCGGCCUCCCAAAGUUCUGGGAUUACAGGUGUGAGCCACCGGGCCUGCCCUGGACCAACGUUCUUCUAACAGGACGAAUAUGCUUAACUCGUAUGAAACUGGACUGCAGUCUGCUCUAAAGGUGUGCCUCCUUCUUUGGCGAAUUUAUAAGGAAGUCCCCACAGCCCUCAGGACAGAGACUGAACAAGGGAUGUGACUGCUGUGAAUACUCCCAGCCAAAGGCCAUCAGGACACCCGGAGUUGAACAAGUAACUCAUGAUGGUGUUAACUGUUGGGGUCUGUACUACGUUUAUCAGCUGUAACAGUCACUGCUAAGGUUUGCAGUUUCCUUUCUGUUGCCAGCGGGAUCACGAGUCCACCGGGAGAAAUGAACAACUCCAGACGCGUGGUCUUAAGAGCUGUACCACUCACCAUGAAGCUCUGUGGCUUCACUUCUGAAUCCAGGGAGGCCACGAACCCACCAGAAGGUAGAAACUGUGAACCCGUUCAAACAUCAGAAGGAACGAACUGGACACGUUGUUCUUAAGAAGUGUAACACUGAUCGUGAGGGUCUGUGGUUUCAUUCAUGAAGUCAGUGAGACGAGGAACCCACCAAUUACAGACACAGUAUGAUGAACCAAAAACCCCAACACUUCCCUGCCAUAAAACAGGAAUCAAAUGAGGCCAGUAACAAAGACAGUUUGAGUCCAGGGCACUGAGUGAAGGCACUAGAUAUGCUGGGACUCAUCAUUGCUUUGGAACAGGGACAGGAUCUGGGUACGAAGUUUCUACCGCUCUUGUGGUGGGGAGUUGGGUUGGGCAUCACUUUCAUACGGCGAGAGGAAACGGUGGUGUCAUCUAUGUUAGCACUGGCUGCAGUGGAGCUUAAAAAACAUGUUGCAAGCUCUCACAUGGGUUCAAGUCUGAAUUUCCACUGCUACGUGGUCUGAAAACUGCAAGCAGGAAUUUACAUUUAAAGCACAUGGAGUCUAUAGUAUCCCCAGGUACUUCAGAGAAGCAAAUAUCAAUACUCCCUCGAGGAGUAAGUCUUCAAACAAGGCUUCCAAGCACCCCACAGGGUUAGUGGCACCAACUUUUAACUACUGUAACUAAUAAGGAGAAGCCAAGGGUACAUAUGAAGAAGUUGUUUAUGAGCAUUUGCCAACAAAAAAAGACCUGCAAAGACGUCAGAUACUGUAAGAACAGAAUACAGAAUAUAAAAUGGGUAUUCUUAAUAUGUUUCAAUGAGUAAAGGCAGAAAUAAGGUGAAGAGUCAGGAUGAAGGGAUCACCGAAGAUGAGCAGACAAAUUUGGGCAAAACUAGAAAUGUAAACUAUAAUAAUUGAAGUAAAAAGAAAACUCAAUGGAAGGGUUAAAAAAUUGCUGGAGAUGAGAGAACAAUUAGUAAACUCAGUUAUUCAAAAAUUAUACUAUUACACAAAGAGAUCAAUACAUUAAAAAUAGAAAAGUUUAAGAGACAAGUAGAAAAUCCACCGUACAUAUAAUCAGAAUUUGAGAGGCAGAUUGUUGAAAAAAAAUGCAAGGAAUAAAUUUUUUUUUUUUUUUUUUUUUUUGAGAUGGUCUCACCCUGCUGCCCAGGCUGGAGUGCAGUGGUGUGAUCUCGGCUCACUGCAAGCUGUGCCUCCCAGGUUCAAGCGGUUCUCCUGCCUCAGCCUCCUGAGUAGCUAGGAUUACAGGCACACGCCACCACGCCCAGCUAAUUUUUGUAUUUUUAGUAGAGACAGGGUUUCACCAUAUUGUCCAGGCUGGGCUCGAUCUCCUGCCUCGGCAUCCCAAAGUGCUGGGAUUACAGGCGGGAGCCACUGCACCUGGCCAAAAUAUUUCAAGAAGUAAUGACCAGUGUUUCUGGAAUGAAUGAAAGACCCAAAUCCAUCGUGUGUCUUUCAUUCCAUUUGAUUUCUCAUUUGGUUUUUCUUUUUGCAGCUGGGAAGUUUCAGGGUUAUUGGCUCAUCAUAGUACCAAAUCAUGACAGAUCCAAAGAAAGACAAAUAAAAGCCAGUCAAUAUUAGGACAUAUUAACAGUGCAACAGCAGAACAACAUAAACAAUAAGGGAUCGUGAAAGAAGAGACACUUUGCCACCGGGCGUGGUAAAUAAGCAUAUGUAAAGAUGAUGUCAACAUCUUGUAUCACCAAGUAUUACAAAUUUUUAAAAAAGGAAAUAGCACUACACACCUAUUAAAAAGGGGAGCAGGCAGGGUGUGGUGGCUCAUGCCUGUAGUCCUAGCACUUUGGGAGGCCGAGGCCGGCAGGUCACUUGAGGUCAGGAGUUUGAGACCAGCCUGCCCAACAUGGAGAAACCCCGUCUCUACUAAAAAUACAAAAGUAUUCGGGCGUGGUGGCAGGCACCUGUAAUACCAGCUACCUGAGAGGCUGAGUCAGGAGAAUCGCUUGAACCCGGGAGGCGGAGGUUGUGGUGAGCUGAGAUUGCGCCACUGCACUGCAGCCUGGGCAACAAGAGCCAAACUCCGUCUCAAAAAAAAAAAAAAAAAAAAAAAAAAAGGGUGAGCAUCCCAAACACCAAUGCUGGCAAGAAUGUGUAGCAAUAGGAACUCUGAUUCAUUGUGCUGGGAGUGGAUGUACUCAUAAAAUGGUACUGAUACCAUGGAGGGCAGUUCGGUGGUUUCCUAUAAAACUAAACAUUCUUUUACUACAUAGUCCGGCCAUUAUGCUCCUUGGUAUUUACCCAAAUGAACACAUCAAUGUUUAUAGUAGCCUUAUUUGUAAUUGCCAAAGCUUAGAAGCAACUAAGAUGUUGUUCCUUAGGUUAAAAAAGAAAAGAAACUGUGGCACCUCCAGACAAUAGGAUAUUAUUUAGUGCUAAAAAUAAAUAAGCUACCAAGUGACAACACCACAUGGAGGAAUGUUAACUGCGUAUAAAUGACAGAAACAAAAACCAAUCCGAAAAGGUGAUGCACUGCAUGAUUCCAGUCAUGUGAUGCUUCGGAAAAGGCAAAACUAUGGAAAUGGUAAAAAGGUCAGUGGUUGCCAGAGGUUAAGGAUAAAGAGAGAUGAUUAGGUGGAGAACAGAAGAUUUUUAGGAUAGUGAAACCAUUUUGUCUGAUAAUAUAAUGGUGGAUAUGUGUGAUUAUACAUUUGUUAAAAACCAUGGAAUGUACAACCCUAAGAGAGAACCCUAAUAUAAACCAUGAAAUUUGAAUAAUAAUGAUGUAUCAUUGCAGGUCUGUAGAUUUGUCAAAUAUGCACCACUGUCGUGGGGGAUGGUAGUAGUGGGGUAGGUUGUGUGUGUAUAGGGACCAAGGGUAUAUGAGAACUCUCUGUACUUUCUGAUCAAUUUUGAUGUGAAGCUAAAACUGGUCUAAAAAAUAAAGUUUAUUAAAUUACAAAAAUCUAACAGGGUUAAAAGGAAAUGGGAAAAUUAAUUUAAAAAUGUAUAUGGGCCAGGCGCGGUGGCUCAUGCCUGUAAUCCUAGCACUUUGGGAAGCUGACACGGGCGAAUCAUGAGGUGAAGAGAUCGAGAUCAUCCUGGCCAACAUGGUGAAACCCUGUCUCUACUAAAAAUGCAAAAAUUAGCCAGGCGUGCUGCAAGGUGCCUGUAGUCCCAGCUACUCGGGAGGCUGAGGCAGGAGAAUCACUUGAACCCGGGAGGCAGAGGUUGCAGUGAGCCGAGAUCGCACCACCGCACUCCAGCCUGGGUGACAGAAUGAAACUCCAUCUUAGAAAAAAAAAAGAAAGAAAAAACAUGUAUAUGGCAGCAUAAAUAUCAAGAACAAAUGGGAGAAACUCUUCAAGUGGAAUGAGGUGGGAACAUAUCCUUCCUCAGACAUCAAGACGCAUUAUAAUCCAUAGACUAUAAGACAGUGGCACUAGCACAACAAUAGACCAACAGAGAAAAGAAAUUUGUUAGAUUGUCUGGAAAUAACACAGUGAAAGUGUGGAGGUUUGAUAAGUGGUGAAAUUAUCCUGUAUGUGAAUGGGGAUAAUAUGCGCUAGUCCAUUGAAUUAAUCGUCUCUCUCUGACUGUUUCUCCCUCUCACUUUCUUUCUGUGUGUGUGUGUGUGUGCAUACAUGAGUGUGUGUGCAUGCGUGUUUGAUGGGGACAGGAGGCAGGGAAACGCUGGGUAGAAGAAGGUGGUUCUUCAGCAAAGGCCCCACCUUCAAGCCUGGAAACUGUGGCUCUAAAUGAAAACAGUUAUCUCUGUUUUCCCGUCCAAUUGUUGCUUUAUUCAAAACCACCCUGGCCCGCCACCCUCAUGCCCCUCCCCCCCUGACCCCGCAUCCUGUACUCAUAAAACCCCCAAACCCCAGGUUCAAUGAGCAGGAGGGCGGCACAGCAGCAGAGCAGCAGAGCGGCAGAGUGGAGAAGGAGAGAAGAGAAGUGUCUGAACAUGGGGAGGAGUUUGGCUGGGGGCGGUCAUAGAAGAGAUUCGCCAUGAGAUGGCUGAACUCCAGGGGACAAUCAUCUUCCCACUCCAUCCCCUCUCCACCUCCCCAUCCCACUGAGAGCCACCUCCACCUCUCAAUGAAAUCCCUGCAUUCACCAUUCUUCAAGUCCAUGUGACCUGAUUCUUCCUGGAAGCUAGACAGGAAUUCAGGAUUCCUGUACCAAUUCCAUUGGGUACAGGAACCAAAAAGACUGUCACGUUGACUCUUCACUGAGCUGUUAAACACUUUAGCUUUCCCUGGGUGGCAGGGCUAAAGGACAUUGUAAUACCCCUAGCCACUGCUGGGGGGUCAGAGCCCAAAUGUGCUCACCCCAGCUCACCUGUGUGCUCUCCCUCCCUUAAAGGGUUUGAACACGCACCAGCCGAAUAAAUGAGCCACAUGCCAUCACAUGUUCCGCGAGGGGUCAGAGAACUCUCCUGUUUCAUGUUGACGGAUGUUGUAAGCAUUAAUGGUUUUAAAUGCAAAAGGAAAACUCGGAAAUGUUAAAGAUAGUAUAGAAUAAUUUCAUUAUGGCCUUUGAAUAGGAAAGUAUUUCUGAAACAGCAUGUAAGAUGUACAAGCCACAAAAACAUCUUGAUAAAUUUGACUACAUUAAAAUUAAAAACUUCUUUUAAUCGAAAGAUACAAUAAAAAAAGCAUAAGUGAUACACAUGCAGGGAAAAUAAUUUUUUUCUUUUUUUUUUUGUGAUGGAGUUUUGCUCUUGUUGCCCACGCUGGAGUACAAUGGUACGAUCUCGGCUCACCGCAACCUCCCUGUCCUGGGUUCAAGCGAUUCUCCAGCCUCAGCCUCCCGAGUAACGGGGAUUACAGGCAUGCGCCACCACACCCAGCUAAUUUUGUAUUUUUAGUAGAGACAAGGUUUCUCCAUGUUGGUCAGGCUGGUCUCGAACUCCUGACCUCAGGUGAUCCACCCGCCUUGGCCUCCCAAAGUGCUGGGAUUACAGGCAAAAGCUACCAUGCCUGGCCUAAUUUUAAAAAAUACAUGAAAUUAAUGAAGCAUUAUGAUCCAGAAUAUAUAAAAGUAUAAUAUAUCAGUAAAUCAACAAAAAUGGGGAAAAGAUGUGAAAAAAUUUCACAGUAGAGGAAAUAACCUGUUAGAAAAAUCUGUAAAAGGUACUAACAAGUACUUUACAGAACAGGAAUAUAAGUGGCCAGUAGAUAUAUAUAAAAAGAUUCUCAAUUCGUAAUAAUCAGUAAAAGGCAAUUUAAUAUUUAAUGAAAUCUCAUGAUACACCUAAUACAUAGGUAAAUAUGACCAGGAUAUAGAACAAGGAUGUCCCUGGGGCAGUUGCUAAGAGUGUGAAUUGGUGCAAUGACUUUCAAAAUCAAUUUGGCAUUAUCUUGUAAACUGAAUGUGAGUAUGCCCAAUUCUAGUAUGUGCUGUAGGAAAAAUGUCUACCCCUUUGCACAAGGAAUCAUACAAAAUAAUGUUUCUAGGAGCAUUGUUAAUAAUAGCAAAAGACAAGAACAAAACCUUGCAAGUAACCAAAUGUCUAUUGGGUCUAUUUGUGGGAAAAUGGAUAAAGAAAUUGAGGUUUAUUCAUGAAUUGGACACUAUAUAAUGGUGAAAAUGAAUAAACUUGAAUUACACAUGUCAGGGUGAUCGAAACUCAGAAAGUUAAUACAUUGUGGAAGCAAGUUGUGGAAAGAUAUGCAGCAUGAUACUGUAUUAUAAAUUCAAAGCCAAGCACACUAGGCAGUGUAUUAACAGCUGUGCAACACGUAUGUGAAUGGAACUCUUGGAGAAAACCCAGGGCCAGGGAUGAAGUAACAGAAGCGAACAGGAGCUUCAGAGAUAACAGUGACGUUCCAUGUCUUAGUGUGGGUGAAGGGGUCAAUGGUGUUUGUUUCAUGAAAAUCUAUCUCUAUCUGCUAUCUGUCUGUCUGUCUGUCUAUCUAUCUAUCUCUCUAUCUAUCUAUCUUCUAUCUAAUCUUAUCUAUCCAUCCUAUCUACAGAUGUAUAUGUUUGUGUGUAUAUAAAUAUACAUCUGUCACAAACAUUCUCUUAUGUGUAUCAAAUAUUUUCAUAAUAAAAACAUUUACAAAAUCUCCUACUCUUUCUAGUCCUGUUAUUCCAUAGUUUCCCCUUCUGUGUCUUGUUUUGUAAACUUAAUGUGUGGGCCAGGUGCAGUGGCUCACGCCUAUAUUCCC